rnacentral:sRNA from 1 species
ACGAACCUGCUCCUGCACAAUAGGUA